CAAGUCUAGGAUUCAUAAAAAGAUUACAGAAAAUCCCCCCUUUGUCACAGCGACCACCCAGAAGAGUCAAUAGAAAACCAUACAAGACAAACAGUAAACAUCGAAACCACUUGGAAGUGAAAAGGAACAACAGACAGCGAGGGGAUUGCCCUGUCUGUGAAUAAUGGCAAAAGAUUGAUUCGCUAUUUUACAGGGUGCAAAGGCUCUCUGCAUCCAUUCACUGAGGCAGUGCCUUAAAACAGUGAGGGGGGAGGGUGCUUCAUGACAGACUGGCUCCUGGAGACUAGCAAGUGCAGCAAAAGACUGAAUUUUGGGGUGAGGAUGAACUUUAUUAGCGAGGAAAGGAUGGCUACCUUUAAACCUGCUAUUGUGUGUCCAGGGAGAUUGCUGAGAUUGCAGGGCAGAGCGGGGGAAGAUGAGAUGAGGGAUCCUUUGACUGAGGCAGCGAGUUCAUUUUCACCCAGGCCAGGUGGCUGACAUGUUUCAGGGAGAGGAGUUCGUCCUGGAAGAUAUCUCGCUGCUGAGGGUGACCUGGGAAGCAAGGGAGGGUCUUCUACUACAAUGCGGCUUCCGCCCUGGCCCAUAUGCAUAUGUGCAUCAAUGGUCCUCCCACUUGUCACGGCACAGUGGCACGGACAUGUUAGCCUGACUGAGACAAGGACCACAGCGGCUCUCCCACUAAACCUGCGCAAGCGCAUUGCCCAAGUUCUGGAUGAGACCUUUGAAGAGAUCACUGAGGUCGAUUACCGCGAUGUAAGAGAACACAUCAAUGCCCUAUUCUGCAUCUAGGCAUGCAUGCAGCCCUAACCCUCCUCACCCCAAGAGCCUGCACUGAAUAACUUCCUUCCCAAAAUA